rnacentral:rRNA from 1 species
GAGGGGGCAAGCGUUGUUCGGAAUUACUGGGCGUAAAGGGCGCGUAGGCGGCCGCCUAAGUCAGACGUGAAAUCCCUCGGCUCAACCGGGGAACUGCGUCUGAUACUGGGUGGCUUGAAUCCGGGAGAGGGAUGCGGAAUUCCAGGUGUAGCGGUGAAAUGCGUAGAUAUCUGGAGGAACACCGGUGGCGAAGGCGGCAUCCUGGACCGGCAUUGACGCUGAGGCGCGAAAGCCAGGGGAGCAAACGGGAUUAGAUACCCCGGUAGUCCUGGCCCUAAACGAUGAGUGCUUGGUGUGGCGGGUAUCGAUCCCUGCCGUGCCGAAGCUAACGCAUUAAGCACUCCGCCUGGGGAGUACGGUCGCAAGGCUG